GGCGGCGUGCUUAACACAUGCAAGUCGAGCGGAAAGGCCCUUCGGGGUACUCGAGCGGCGAACGGGUGAGUAACACGUGAGCAACCUGCCCCUGACUCUGGGAUAAGCCCGGGAAACUGGGUCUAAUACCGGAUACGACCGCUUCCCGCAUGGGAUGGCGGUGGAAAGUUUUUUCGGUUGGGGAUGGGCUCGCGGCCUAUCAGCUUGUUGGUGGGGUAGUGGCCUACCAAGGCGACGACGGGUAGCCGGCCUGAGAGGGCGACCGGCCACACUGGGACUGAGACACGGCCCAGACUCCUACGGGAGGCAGCAGUGGGGAAUAUUGCGCAAUGGGCGAAAGCCUGACGCAGCGACGCCGCGUGGGGGAUGACGGCCUUCGGGUUGUAAACCUCUUUCAGCAGGGACGAAGUUGACGUGUACCUGCAGAAGAAGCGCCGGCUAACUACGUGCCAGCAGCCGCGGUAAUACGUAGGGCGCAAGCGUUGUCCGGAAUUAUUGGGCGUAAAGAGCUCGUAGGUGGCUUGUCGCGUCGGGUGUGAAAGCUUGGGGCUUAACUCCAGGUCUGCAUUCGAUACGGGCUGGCUAGAGGUAGGUAGGGGAGAACGGAAUUCCUGGUGUAGCGGUGAAAUGCGCAGAUAUCAGGAGGAACACCGGUGGCGAAGGCGGUUCUCUGGGCCUUACCUGACGCUGAGGAGCGAAAGCGUGGGGAGCGAACAGGAUUAGAUACCCUGGUAGUCCACGCCGUAAACGUUGGGCGCUAGGUGUGGGGGACCUUCCACGGUUUCCGCGCCGUAGCUAACGCAUUAAGCGCCCCGCCUGGGGAGUACGGCCGC
rnacentral:rRNA from 1 species